UACAGCCAGCUAUACAUCCAAUCGAACACAGACGUAAACGGUACAAAGAGCAUUUCCCAAGAAUGAUUUCACGGCACGAGCUGUUCUGGAAGCACCCUGACACUCAGGAUGGCCGUAAAUCGCUUCAGAUAGGUUAAACAAAUUACCAACCCUUCGGGAGGUGGUCCGCUCACUCCCACCCUCUCUACGUGCCACCGUCCUUCUGCUUAUUUGCUUCGCACCGCGCAAUGAAAAUCAGCUGGAAAGUUUCGUUUUUGCUUUUCGUCGGUUUCACUUUCCAGCUGCUUGCAAGCCACGAAAAGUUUCUGUUUGCGUUAAACCCGAGCGAUAGGCGGGGAAGAAGGGAGAGGCACGAAGGCAGCCCAGCGGGCGCUCCGGCAGCACUCGCCGAGGUCAUAGAUGUUUAAACGGCUGCGUAUAAAAUUCCAUUUUCUGCUGGAAGAACAUUUAAAGUCACCUGAAAAUCAUUCUGAGUAAUAUAAGGACUAGAUAAAGCAAUAUAGGGACCUCUUUGUCUCUUUUCAUGGACUGAUGUGAAUAAAUGGAUUUUUCUAAAAUAAAACAAAAUUAAAUUGAGAUUAUUUACCAGUCUAAAUUGGAUGUGCAGAUUUCAGCUACUUGCAGAUGACUGACCAAAUGCCCCUGUUUUCAUCCAUUGUAGAACUUCCCAGAAGAAGCCAUGGAGGCAUAAUUUCUUUACUGUCUUGUAUCAGAUAGACAUCCAAGUACUCAUGAAAGGCAUUUAUGAAAUUGAGAUGGUAGCUAAACCCAGUAUAUGAGACAAGAGAAGACAAAUCCAUCAGAGGAUUUGCAGUUUAUUCCCUUAAGAUGUAUAAUUAUUUGUCUGGUAGCGCUCCCUUUGUGUAGCCGUCCUUUCUUCAAUCAAGCAAAGGUACCAUCUGUAGGGAAUUCUGAAGAUUUGAUGUAAAUAUUUCAUGUUUGCAUUAAGUUUUAUUAACUCAUAAAAAACAAGCAGCAAUGCAGUGCUUGGAUAAGGAUUGGGCAACUCAUGCUAAUUUUAAAAUCUAGGUCACUUUAAUCAAAUUUACAUUUCUCUCCAUCCUUGUUGGGAAAGCAGAAAAUCUCAAAUUCUGAAGUUACAAUAAAAUGGCUGUUCACCACUUCAGCACACAGCAGUGUUGACAAACAGUGACCAGCAGGCUUGCACUCCACAUUUACUAUCAGCAAACUGGUUUAUCAUCCAGACUUCAGGUGAAAACACUGCUGGGAACAUUUACCAUGAUCUCUAGGACCAUGAAGACAGAAAUUUGGACUAGACUGUGAAAACCAUAAGGUCAAUAGCUCUGCUGUCUUCUUCCAGAUGAGUAGUAUGUAUGUAAUACAAAACAGUUAAAGAAAUACAGCUAGUGUUUAUUUUCUAAAACAGGUAACAAGUGCAUGAAUAUAGCUCCACCAAAAUGAGCAAGCUAUAAGUUGGCAGCAGCUUUAUGAGAUGAGUGAAGUUCAAUUUUGAUGGAUUGGUUAGAAAAACUGCAGGAAAUUUAAUUAUUACAAAAUUGAGUUACUUCUUUUUCUGUGUCCUUUGAGGUAUCUUCUAUCUUCACCUGAGCUACACAGCAGUCAUCAUGUUAAUCCAGAUCUCUUUCAAAGAAGCUGCUGGUCAGUAGGAGUUAUUUAGUGGCUUCUGAUUUGUCUGAAAUGAGUUGAACUGUAAAAACCCCUCUUUAAUGUUGCAAUGAUGUAUCAAAAUAAAAGUUUGAUGAGAACAGUACAAUGCUAGGCAUGAUUCGUUUCAAUAGUAAAAUAAAUGUUUAUGGGGAAAAAAAGAAGGGCCCUGAGAUUUAAUUGAUAUGAUCAGCUGGGUUUUUACACAGUUUGACAAACUAGUAAAAUUAAAACGCAUCAAGCAGUGGCAUAUAAUAAAAUGUUUAUCGUGUCCUUAACUUGUUUUUUAUUUUUAUCAAAAUAUGGACGGGUGCCUUAAAAAGACACAAAUCCAGGAUUCUCUGGCUUCUUUACCUGCUUUUCAUGACAAAGAUGAUGAAGACAAUCAUUCUUUGAUAGGAUUAAAUCAGCUGAAUAUUUAGAAUUAUGGUACCAAAAUGAAUGGGAGGAUUAAAUGGAUAAAAAUGUUAAUCCAGUCGUAGACAACAAAAUUCAGCCAUUCAGAUCUGGCACUGUGGGAGCAGCUCUAACAGAGUAUCAAGGAUUUGAGGUAAAUUGCUGUUUGUUUCAUUCAGAGAGUGGGUGGAAUACGCUAUUUCCCUUACUGAUUCAUCUCCUUUCCUGGAAGAGAUGCCACCAAAUUUAACAGGAUUACUUGCAAAAUAGUGCAUUGCUCAACAAGAACAGGCAUGGCAGAUCAUUUCCUUAAGAUGUUCAGGUGCAAAAACAAACCAAACUCUAUGAGAAAGAAUUAAUUAGUUUAAAAUUUUUUGAACAUCGUGCCAAGAUUAAGACUUUGAAAACAUCAGCUGGAACCCUUCUGAAAGAGUUGUCUAAUUGUGUGGUAUUUAAUUACUUAUAGGUGUAUUUGCCAACUGGAAAAGCAAAAUAAAGUCAGGGAUUACAUGCACAGAAAGAGCAACUACACAGUUUAGAUCCUGAGUUUGUUUAUCUCACUUUAUUAAAACAGAGAAAUAUAUAUACGGCACAGAACUACUUGUUGUGACAUUACUUUCUAAACUUAAGUCAAAAACCCCACAUACGAGUGAUGAAAUGUUCCAAACAAUGACAUUCAUCUUCUUGAAUCAGAUUCUUGAAGCUGAUUCUUUUGUACCAUGUAAAUCUUAAUUGUUCCCGGAUAUAAACAUAUUGAAAUCAGCUGCUAGUUGAACAGUGAUUUUUUUCCAUCAUGAAUUGAAGGUAUUUUGUAUUACAGAAAGCCUUGAAUCCAUACCUAAAGCAAUGGUUGUCAACACCAACAAAGCAGUAUUUAUUGGCUUCAUAAGUUUUAAAAACUACUGAUUUUUUUUUUUUUUUUGGCUUCCUACACUGGGAUAAUUAUGAACUGUCUUUAGUGAUCCCUUAGUAAAAUAACAGUUGGCUGGUAAUAGAUAAAGCUGAAGUCAGUCCUGGCUGUAAUAGAAACGUUCACCAGAAGCACGUUUUGAAUUUGUGCUUCUGCUUGGAAUGAGAUUGGAAUACUUUUAUUGCCUUUCUUUUCAGGUCAUGAUUAAAAGUUAGACAUCAUAAGAUCUAUUGGUUGGAAGCAGGAAGACUUACACCAUUCAUAAGCUACAUUUAAAAUGCCAGACACACUAGUCCAUAUUUAUAUAGGGAUUUUUUCUUUCUUGAAUAUUUAGAAUUUCAUACCUGAGCUUAUUUUUCUUCCAGUAGAUUUUCUGUCAGGAUAAACAGUAGUUUCCAUUUCAUCAGAUGGACCACCAGGAGUUCAGCAUGAAUUGUCUGGAAAAUUGGUUUUCUUCUGGUACCUGGCAACAUUUAGGAUGGAUUGACUGUGUUUAGGACUUCUUGACCUAGUUCAGUGGCAAGGAGGUUACCUUUCCAAUUUAAGCAGCUCUGCCUCUAACUUGAGGAGUUUUGAGACACACAAGAUCUCUAUUAUCUUGUUCUGAAUUGCAGGGCUUGGGGUUCUUGCUAUGACUCCUUUUUUCCAGCCCUUUUGAAGUACCAGGCUCAUGUUGUGACAGACAAAGAAGCUGAAGAAAGUUUUCAUCAACUUCUUCACAUAAGGGUGCAUUUUAAACUUGUUCAGUAAAAGGCCUCACAGUGCAAGUCCUUGUCUGGCAAGAUAACAGCCUGAGUUCAGCGUACUCACGGCACACUAAUUAGUCUCUUCAUUCAGAUUUUCCUAUUUUCUUUUUCUUUUUUGUUUUUCUUUUUCUUUUUCCAAGAGUACUGAAUAUAUAGCAUGUCGCCAACAUUCUCUGUGGUUUUCUGGAAGAGUUUAACUGCUUCAUGGUGGCUUGGAGAAGGCUGGUUCCUCUCUUUUUCUUUUUUUUUUUUCAAGACUUUUUCAAGACUUUUUCUUCCAAAUGAAGUAUCCAGAUGGUGCGAAAGCAUCAUCUGUGUGUUCAGCACCUACAAACUCUACGACGGUGGAAAUCAAAUAUACUUCACUAGCUUCAGAAUAAUGGAACCACUGAAAAUUUACGAACCAGGAUGAGCACAAAGAACAGUCUUGUUUUGUGAAGUUAUGUGCAGGAAAAAGCUCAAGUCAUGGUUGAUGAGGUGUCUUAGAAAUGUUAACAGUGUCAAGCAACUGGCAAUUGGUUCCUGUGGCAGGAAAUAGCUAAGGCAGCUCAGUGCUACAAGCAGUAGAAGCUGACCUUAUUGUUGUUGGAAUUGUAGUUUCCUCCUUUUUAAUCAUCUGUGUUAUAAGCGAAUUUGUUUUAGCCUUUGAAGAAUACAUAUUCUACUUUUGUGUGGUCUCUGCUCAUUUGGUAAGAAUGGUACUGGCUAAUGUACACACAGCUCUUGGGCAAGCUAAACUGCUUAGCUGGUCACUUGGUUUAUGCAAUUGUGUUUGUUACAGAAAGAUGGCAGGAUGCAUGUCUAUGCCAUGAAGGACUAUUAAAAACAAAGACACCACCUCUGGCUUUGGGAAUCUCAGAGCCACAAAUUGCCAGUGGCUGGGAAGACACUGGGGAGAGGUACCACUGUGCAGUUGCCCAAUGCAUUGCAGUGGGGCGUUGCUGGAGACAGAAUGCCAAGCUUUGAUCUGACCCACCAUGUCUGUGUUCAUCUACAUCUGCUUUUAUGUUUUGUCUGUGCACGAUAUUUUUAACAAAGGAUAGGCAAUAAAUUAAAUCAUUUUUUGUUGGUCUGUGAGGAAAACUAUCCACUUGAAACCAAUGCCCUAGCCAGUGUCAGUGUUUUGUCCUGCUCUUUAUGUUGAUAUAGGUGGUGAUGAACAUUAAUACAUAUGAGACAUGUGUAGAAAACACAAGUACCUGUUAAAGUCUUAGGUUCUUGCCAAGAAAAAUGGGUCAGUGAAGUGAAAACUUUUUGUUCUCUUUGAAGCAUCUCUGUAGUUCUAGCUGAUUCUAUUUUAACACUGGAAACUAUUUAAUUCUUCUUUACUUUCCUCUAAAGUAACCUGUAAUCUUUCCAGGCAUUUCAAGUAAAGACAAUAGUAAAUCCUUCUGAAUGCUACUGUGGAUACCUCUUUUCAGCCUGAGAGAUUCUAUUGACUGUAGAAGUGAGUAGUUUCUGUUUAUUUUCUCAUGUUCUUACAAACAAAAAUACAACUGACAAAUGCUCCCUAUAAAGCAAUAACAAGAUAAGAAAAAAAAAAGGAAGAAAAAUAAAUAGUCUGAACUUCUAUUUGAGAUUUUUCAACUUGAGCUCUUUGAAUCCAAGUGAUGAGUGUGUUCAGUGAUGACAGCUCACACUGGUACCUUGUAUGCUGACCAGCCUUCCAAAUGGUAAGUCAUGUGUAUUUUAUUUUGGUUUUGAAGGACCUAUCUUAGGAAAGGGGGAUCACACAGCUUGAAAUUUUGCUUGCAACAUGAAAAGAAAGAAUAAUACUCCUUCUUCAUUAUGUUUUGAUCUUUGCUCCAGAGUGGAUGAACACUACUCCGAAGUCCCUUUCAAAUGAGAAGGGUCUGGAGAUGAAAUCAAUGUAGUCAGCCUGGCCCACAGUCCUCAGCUCAGUGUUGUGGUGAGAAGAUCCACUACUAUCUCACCAUGGAAUAUACAAAAAAUACUUGUUAUGCAUAUAGACUGUUCUAAUUUUUGAAAAGAGGAAAUCUGGGAUGUAGCAGGAGUCUCUUUUGGUGAAGCUAUGAUUGGAAACUUUUGAGAAGCAGGCAUCAAACUCAUGAGAAAUGAUUAUUACCUUUCACAUGCUUUCUUUAUAAAGUGUUUUCUCACUGUGGAAAGUACUUCAAUGUUCUGAGCAUUCUUUAAAAUAUGGACAUGUUGCCAACUUAAGAAAAUAAGGAACUUCAUCAUUGCAAUUCCUGUUACAUAACCCUCUCCACCUCUGCUUUUCAUCUUAUACUCACGGCUUAAGUUUUAAGACCUGCCUCAGUGUGAGUUUGUGUUCUUUGUACCAGUAACACUUUGGCUAGAGCAUCAACAUCAGACUUACAAUGAAAAAAACAUAGUUUGCUUCCGACCUCUUCAUGCGGUGUUUUGCAUUUUCAAUAUUAAAGCAUUACUGCACAAACAUCAUUCUGGAUUGAGCAAUUUGUUUCAUGCAAAAUUUGCUAUGCCUGGUGAAUUGAUCAUUUUGAGUUUCCUGGUAAAUGAUACAAGAUACUCUUUUUUCCAUUUCAGAUUCAGGUCAAAGUGUGGCCUCUCAUCAGAGACACUGCUGAGUCUUGCUCUUGUUUUCCUCCGGGAUAUGGCAGCCUUGGCUCUUUGGUCUUAGAUCAUUCACAGCGUCUUCCCCUCUGCUAUCUUUUUUUGCACCUUUGGUUUAGACACUGUUCCUAUGUUUUACUUUCUGUGCAGUGCACCUCUCCUCAUGUUUUUUUUUUCCUCCUGUUUCAUGAUUUUUUUUAUUUUCAGACAUUAAAUGAAAAUGGGGAGAGACCAAGUCCACCUGAGUCCACUAGCUACAGAGAGAAAGGUCUCACAACAUCUUUCUUUCUGCCUGCACUUGCUGACUGAAGACAAAACAGCAAGUCUCCAGUCACUCUGCUGCAAAUGGAGUUAUGCUGUCCUUCCAGCAAUUUUUUCUCUGACAGAAACAAUCAUAGUGGUCAGAGCAGAUGGAUUGUACUGGUGUUGCAAAGGCUUCUUUUCCAGAUAAGAAACUGGAAGCAGAGAGAAGAGAGUUACAGAAUGUGAGUGGACAGCGAUGGACACCAAGUUGAGCAUGAGCCAGCAGCAUGCCCUGGCUACUAAGAAGAUAUCCUGGGCUGCCUUAGGCAAAGCACUGCCAGCAGGUCGAGGGAGGGAGAUGAUCCUUCCCCUCUAUUCAGCACUGGUGAGGCCACACCUGGGGUGCUGGGUCCAAUUCCAAGGCCCCUAGUGCAAGAGAGGCAUGGACAUACUGGGAAGAGCCCAACAGACAGCUGCUGAGGUGAUGAGGAGUCUGAAGCGCUUCUCCUAUGAGGAGAGGCUGAGAGAGCUGGGGCUGCUCAGAUGGAGAGGAGGAAGCUCAGGGGGACAUCAAUGUCCAUAAAUUCUUGAUGGGGAUGUGCCAAGAAGCCAGGCUCUGUCAGUGGUGCCUGGUGCCAGGACCAGAGACCAUGGGCACAAAUUGGAGCACAGGAGAUUCCCUCUGAACACCAGGAGCACUUCCUUGCUGCACAGGUGAUGGAGCACUGGCAUGCUCCUGUUCUUGUUGGCACAGGGGCUGGAGGAGAUCCAGAGAUCAAACACUUCCCUACCUCAACCGUUAUGUGAUUCUGAUUCUGUGAAGUAUGGACAUUUGGACAAUAACUUUGUCUUCCUAUAGAAUUAAUGGAGGAGAACAGGCCCCAGUACUAGUUUCUUACUCUGAAUUGUACUCAUGAAUGUUUUUCUCCUUUCCAUUGACUGCUGAGAUAUCCUUAGAAGGCUGGUUGUGUAAUUUAGGCACCUAGGUCAGAUCCUGAAAAUUGCCAAGACAGGAAUGGUGCCACAAUAAUGGAUUUGUUCUUUUGAAUUUGCCUGUGAGACCUGCUGGCCAGUAAAUACUGACAGAUGUGUUGAUAAGGAAUCAUCAAGCUUAGAGUGGGAAAUCUGAGCUGACAUCUUAGUGCCACCAAAUUAUCUGAUACUGAAUUCACUGGAAUUGGUAUUUCAGCCCAGUGGGCGAAGUGCAGCAAGAUACACAUUCAUUUUGUCUCAUCCCAUCCUGUCCCAUCCUUUCUUGUCUUGUCUCAUCCCAUUCUGUCUCAUUCCAUCCUAUUCCAUUCCAUCCCAUCCUGUUCCAUCCCAUCCCAUUUCAUUCUGCCCCAUCCUGUUAUGUUCCAUCCCAUCCCGCCCUGUCCCAACCUAUUUCAACCCAUCCCAUCCCAUCCCAUCCCAUCCCAUCCCAUCCCAUCCCAGUCUUCCUGAUGGAAUGCUCUCAGCACUUUGUAUCACACAGAGAAAAGAUGCUCAGUUCCACAGUUCCAGUUUACUCAACUCACAUAAAAUUCAGUGAAGAAAUGAACAUGGAAAGCAAUUUGUCUUUUUCAUGUCGAAAUUUGUAUGACAGUGAUACUCUCUUAAUUGAAAGCUGUGUUUUCCUGCAAAAGAAAAAAGAAGGCUGUCUUUUCUAUCCAGCAAAGUUCAUUGUGGUUGCUAGAGAAAACAGACUUUGAAGACACUUCAAUGAAUAUACUGCUCUUACUGUUAGUUUCCCCUGAAUCUCUCACAGCAUAAUUAAAUGUUGGUCUCUGUAAUCAAUGACUGUUAGCUGUUACCUGGGCAUAUCCUGAUAUUUUCAUAAAGAUCAGAGGUCACACAUAAGGAUUUCCAAGAAUUUUCAGUGCAGAGGAGGAGAGCUUGCCAAGUGGUUUGGAUAAACCUGAAGGCAUGUCUGGGCUGCUCGUGGUGUUCAUAAUCCCUGCCUUAGAUCUGCCUAGCUGUGUAUGUGCGCAUGGACCAGGGUGUUACCAAGGGAACACAGAAGCUGGAGUCCCAAAAGCUAAGCACCCAAAGCUGAGUGGUUGUACCUACUGGGAUCUUGCCCUUCUUAUUGGAAACUGUUACUGGUGAAUCUGCCCUGUUUCUGGCUCCAUACCUGUUGAUGAUGAGUUGAGGAUGAGUUUGGUGAUCUCAGUACCAGAAUCUUCUGUACUCAUAUCUUCACUGUGUAGAAAUGAAGCUGCUCAGGGAGGUGAUGGAGUCACGGUGCCUGGAGUUGUUAAAAAACCGCAUAGAUUUGGCACUGAGGGACAUGGUUGGUGGUCAUGGUGGGGAUAGGCUGACAGUUGGACUAGAUGAUCUUAGAGGUCUUUUCCAAUCUUCAUGAUUCUACAAUUAUAUGAUUCUCUGAACUAUUUAUUAUCCCUAGGAUUUUAAUGUAGAGCCAUUGGGUAGUUGCUAAAACUGAGUGGGUCGUCAGGUACAAACCGAUGUCUUGUUCCUUCUGGAUGAAAACAAUUUUUAACAAAGUCAUCCAGCAGCAUAUAUAUUUGCAUUUGCCAUAAGGGAACUUGCUUAUAGGUCUUGCCAGAGUGGGCACAGAAAGAAUAAGACAACUGGUAUGAAGAGGCAUGCAGCAGAUGGCCUCUGCACUCCACUGAAUCCUUACACUUGAGUCACCUUUAAUCCUACAGAAGCUGCUGACGCCCUGCCUGCUGUGUUAAAUAUAUCUGAGUAAGAGGGACUGGCUGCUGUGUGAGGCUUGCUUUCCCUUGUUGUACAUCUGUAUCAGCCAGGGCUGUUUGGUUGUCCUAGCAGGGUGAGAUCAAGGCAGCACCUUCCAUCCGUCCCCAGGAGCUUGGCACUGAGGGGUUCUUUUUCAAAGUCAUUUUUCCCUGAAAUUGACUUGUCUGACUCACUCGGGUUCAGAAAAGGGAGAGUGGGUGUGUGUGAGAGGUUUACACAAGAUUAUUACACUCUCUCAAUAUUCCACGUUUCUUGUCAUCCAUCUGUAGUUUCAGAGAAUCCAAAAAUUAACCUUGGAUGGGAAACAAAGCCCAGCUUUUAAAUGUGCUGCCAUUUUCGGGUGUCUUUUCUUUCAUGUUCUGAGGCACUUUUCUGGAAAUAUACUUAAGUGACUGGCUACAAAACAGACUUGAGAUGUGAUUUAUAUGGAGAGGACAGCUUGAGAGCACAGUGCACAGAAGUUUGUCAUGUUUGGCUUGUCCUGAAGGGAAAAAGAGAGCUGUGUGUUUUCCUUUGUCUGGAGAGAACACACCUCAAGAUGCUGUUACUGUAUUUUAGGGAGUGGGGACUGUGUGGUUUGCUCAGGAGUCUUUGGGAGGGUCAUCAGAAGAUGCUGUUCAAAAUUAGAAGCAGGCUGUUAUUUGAAGGUGCCCACUGGGGACACGGUGAGCAGCAGCUUCUGAAAGAAUCAUAGAACUGUUUGAGUUGGAAGGGACCCUUAGCGGUCAUCUGGUCCAACUCCCCUGCAGUGAACAGAAGACAGAUGUAGGUACCAUCUCAUUAGGUCAUCUGGCAAAACCAGUGUAGGUAGAAAGAGUUGGAAUGGAGACACAGCAGAAUUUCCUGAGGAGGAGGCACCUCUGGGAUGUCUUAGCUACUUCACUCCCUAUGUAGAAAUACUUGAGAAGCAACAGGAUAAUGUCACAUAGCCAGCACCAACAGAUGGGGCAAGGGAUGGGUUUUUCCCUGUGCACUUUUCCCUGGAGGAGGAAAGAGGAAAAAGCUUCAAACCCUUGGCCAAUUAUUCAGUCAUGCAGUUAAUGCUGAGAAAAAUCAACUGAAGGAAAAAGACAAGACAGGAAAUUGUGGUGGAGAUGGACCCUGGAAUAUGGAGUGAAUGGGAAGCUGUGUGAAAGAAAAAAGGAUUAGAUCACAGAAGGAGAAAGAAGACGGGUGAGAGAAUGGAGGAGAGGGAGAAAAUGAAAAGGGCCUUAAGGGACAAUUGUUCAUUUUCAAAAAGGGAAAAGAAAGAAUAAGAGUAAAAAUUAAAGUAAUGAGGAAAGAGGCUGGAAUCAGAAGGAGCAGCAGCAGAAGAAUCUACUCAGAAAACAAGAAUCCAGAGAUCAAGGAGUAAACAAAUUUACUGAGGUUUUGAAAAGAAAAAUGGGGGGGAAAAAAGAAAGUUGCAGAAAAAAAUAAGCAAAACUAGGUGGAGGAGAGUAAAAGAGAAAAGUGAAACAAAAUUAAGGGAGAUGAUUUUUCUGUGCUCUAGUAAGCUUCCUUCUGAGCUAUUUUGAUAGAAAAUAUCUGACAUUUAUGGGGGAACUCUGGGAGAAUUGUGGCUUGGGGAAACCGACCUACCUGUACUUAGAAGACAUUGGUGCUAGAUUAAGCUCUGCAGUAGGAAGGGGAGGUGGUGGCUAUGGAUGGUCCUAGCACGUGAGUUCCUGACCCUUGCAAGUUUCUGCAGGGCCUUUUAGAAGACCCUGCUUAGUAACAUAAGGCCCACGUUUCAGUUCUCAGUGUACAAAAGCACAUUGUGUCGAAGCAUAUCUAGAAACAUGGCAAAGUCGAGUCGCACUGCCUGGCAUCUCACGGCUACAAGUCCUCAUUUUUGAAAGUGAGACAAAGCCAAAAGCGUUACCAGGGUGGCAUUGCACUGUCUACAGAGAGGAACAAGAGAAUAAUAAUGGAAUAACCUACUUUAAAACGGACCUCUACACACCUCCAGAGCACAACUGGUGCUCCAUCCCCAAGCACUUUGGUGGUGCUCCACGGGGCUCAUUCCAGUGUAUCAACAUCUGUUUUGUACCAGGGAUCCUGCAGUUGCAUGAGAGGUUUAGCAGCAGAGGCAUAGGAUUUGGGGCUUAUGGUAUAAAUGCAACACAAAUUUGAAGGUUACACUGUGCAGAUGUUGAAAAAUCUCAGUCGCUACCCUGUUAUUAAGGUUUCAGAAUCUAGGCAUUUCCAUUUUAGCAUAAUUGCAUAGAGUGUGGUAGCUCAAAUCCAAGAAAAACACUUUUCUAAUAGCCUGAGAGCAUGCAGUUUAAAACUGAUACCCGUUUAAAAAGUAAUUUCUCCCAUUUGAUAUUAAACUGGUUCCUUUUUUUUUUUUUUAAUCCAGAGGGCUGUUUUGAAGGAAAGGAAGUUUUGCUCUGUCACAUGGCUGUUAUUGUGGAGAUUGAAAAUAGCAAAGCACACCAGACAAAAUUAGCAUUGCUGUGCAUUCAGAUACACUGCUUCUUAUUUGCUCCUUUACUAUGAAAUAAUAAAGUUUAGAGCCAGAUAUUUAUGAUUCACCCACUUUUGAUCAAACGAAGCCCUUUUACUUGAGGCGAGAGAAAGGUUUAUUAAACACAGACACCAGAUGACUCAGGAUAUUUGUCUUUUUCUAGGAUAAUGUUAGAAUGUAGAGCCAAAACCUAGUUCAGAGGCUGCCCUGAGGCUCCUUGGGGUUACAGUAUUUUAAAAAAACAGGCAAUAGCCCUUGCUUCCAGAACUACAAAACUCAUUUCCCUGACUCAUCUUUCCAAUAACAUUCACAACAUCAUUUUGAAAAACAAGAAAACCCAAUGACCAAAUCCAAACAUUUUCCUUGAACGCAGCUGGAGUGAGAGGCUGAGCUUUUAUUUGGCCUGCAAGCUAUACAGUGACAUACAGAUACUAUGGGAAGAGGGCACCUCAGGUGGUGGAGGAAUGCAUGUCAGAUAAAAUCACAGUAUGUGUUGCAUUGUGGAAGUGGUAUUUGUACACCUUUGAGCAAACCAGCCACUUUAUUCCUGGUAUUAUCACAGGGAAGUUUUGCACUGCAUAACCAAAUGGACACCAUUUGCAUUCCAAAUACUUGUUACAUAAAUAUUUGUUAUCUCCUUGUUUUGCUAUGAGCUUUGCAGAUUCAUUUGGACUGUGCCUCGUGAUCCAGAUGCUGGGCUCAUUUAGUUUUGUUCAGUUCCCCUUCCCUCUGACUUCCUCUAUGACUUUUGACUGAAGUUUCUUUGUACUUUAGCUCACAACUCACAAAACAGGGACAAGGGCUCAAGCUGGCCAAGGAAAAUACCUUUAACCAUUAGGAGGAUCUUGAAUUGAACCACAGAACCACAGAAUCAUAGAAUCGUAGAAUCACAGAACCACUGAACCACUGAACCACAGAAUGGUUUGGGUUGGAAGGGACAUUAAAGCCCAUCCAAUUCCAACCUCUGCCAAGGACAGGAACACUUUCCAGCAGCUCAGGUUGUCCAAGGCCUGGUCUUCCAUGGUUGGGGCAUCCAUGACAUCUCUGAGCAGUUCAUGCCAGUGCCUCACCAUGCUUGGAGCAACAAUUUCUUCCUAGUAUCUAAUCUAAACCUAUCCUUUUUUAGCUUAAAACUGUUACCCCUUAUCAUACCACUGCACUCACUGGUAAAGAGUCCCUCCCCAUCCUUCCUGUAGGCUGCCUUUAGGUACUGGAAUGCUGCUGUAAGGUCUCCCCAGAACCUCCUCUUCUCAAGACUGUACAAUCUCAACUUUCUCAGCCUCAAUUCACAGGAGAGGUGCUCCUGCCCUCUUAUCAUUUUCAUGGUCCUCUUCUGGACCUGCCUUAAGAGGUCCAUAUCCUUGUGCUGGGGCCCCAGAGCUAAAUGCUGUGUCACCAGCACGGAGCAAAUGGACAGGAUAACCUCCCUCUCCCUACUAGCCAUGCUUCUUUUUAUGCAGUCCAUGAUAUGGUUGGCUUUCUGGGCUGUUCUGGACUGCAAGUGCACAAUGGACUUGUGUUGAGCUUUUUAUCUGCCACUGUUUCCAAGAACUAUUUCUCUGCAGGGCUCCUCUCAAGACAGUCAUCUCUAAGUCUGUAUUCAUCUUUGGGAUCGACCUGACUCAGGUGCAGGACCUUGCACUUGGCCUUGUUGAACUUCAUGAGGCUUACACCUCUCAAGCCUGUCCAGGUCUCUCUGGAUGGCACACCUUCCCUCCAACAUGUUGAUCAUACCACACAGUUUGGUGUCAUCUACAAACUUGCUGAGGAUGCACUCAAUCCCACUGCUAUUGUCACCAACAAAGAUGUUAAAUAGUAUAGGUCCCAAUACAGACCCCUGAGGAACAAAACUUAUCACUGAUCUCCACCUGGACAGUGAACCCUUGAUCACAACUCUUUGAGUGCUACUGUACAGCCAGUUCCUUGUCCAUCAAAUAGCCAUCCAUCACACACACCUUUCUCCCUUUCAGAGGCAAGGAUUUCGUGUGGGACAGUAUCAAAUGCUUUACAUAUAAGUUCAGUUAAAUGAUGUCAGUUGUUCA